rnacentral:rRNA from 1 species
ACUGCUCAGUAACACGUAGUCAACCUAACUCGUGGACGUGGAUAACCUCGGGAAACUGAGAAUAAACCACGAUAGAUCAUAGUGCCUGGAAUGGCUUAUGGUCCAAACAGUUUACUGCCAUGGGAUGGGACUGCGGCCUAUCAGCUUGUUGGUGAGGUAAUGGCCCACCAAGGCGAUUACAGGUACGGGCUCUGAGAGGAGAAGCCCGGAGAUGGGUACUGAGACACGGACCCAGGCCCUAUGGGGCGCAGCAGGCGAGAAACCUUAGCAAUGUGCGAAAGCACGACUGGGUCAGUCCGAGUGAUUCCUGAUAAAGGAGUCUUUUGCUUGUCCUAAAAGCACAGGUGAAUAAGGGGUGGGCAAGUCUGGUGUCAGCCGCCGCGGUAAUACCAGCACCUCGAGUGGUCAGGACGUUUAUUGGGCCUAAAGCAUCCGUAGCCGGCUCUGCAAGUCUUCGGUUAAAUCCACCUGCUCAACAGAUGGGCCGCUGGAGAUACUACAGAGCUAGGGAGUGGGAGAGGCAGACGGUAUUCAGUGGGUAGGGGUAAAAUCCUCUGAUCCAUUGAGGACCACCAGUGGCGAAGGCGGUCUGCCAGAACACGUUCGACGGUGAGGGAUGAAAGCUGGGGGAGCAAACCGGAUUAGAUACCCGGGUAGUCCCAGCUGUAAACGAUGCAAACUCGGUGAUGCAUUGGCUUAUGGCCAAUGCAGUGCCGCAGGGAAGCCGUUAAGUUUGCCGCCUGGGAAGUACGGACGCAAGUCUGAAACUUAAAGGAAUUGGCGGGGGAGCAC